CAUAUACUCCCUCCGUCCGAAAAUACUUGUUAAAGAAAUGGAUAUAUCUAGAUGUAUUUUAGUUCUAGAUAUAUCCACUUUUAUCCAUUUUCGCGAUAAGUAAUUCCGGACAGAGGGAGUACUAU
rfam:Triticum aestivum genome assembly, contig: Triticum_aestivum_CS42_TGACv1_scaffold_570755_7AS